CCUACGGGUGGCAGCAGUGGGGAAUAUUGCUCAAUGGGGGAAACCCUGAUGCAGCGACGCCGCGUGAGUGAAGAAGUUUUUCGGUAUGUAAAGCCCUAUUAGCAGGGGAGCAAAUGACGGUACCUGAUUCAGAAUCCACGUCUAACUACGUGCCAGCAGCCGCGGUAAUACGGAGGGGGCAAGCGUUCUCCGGCUUUACUGGGGUUAAAGGGGGCGUAGACGGCAGAAAAAGGCUGGAGUGAAAUGCCUGGGCUUAACCCCGGAACUGCUGUGGAAACUGUGCAGCGAGAGUGCAGGAGAGGUAUGUGGAAUGCCUGGUGUAGCGGUGAAAUGCGUAGAUAUUAGGAGGAACACCAGUGGCGAAGGCGGCUUACUGGACUGUAACUGACGUUGAGGCACGAAAGCGUGGGGAGCGAACAGGAUUAGAUACCCUGGUAGUC
rnacentral:rRNA from 1 species